rnacentral:rRNA from 1 species
UCGAAUCGCAUGGCCUUGCGCCGGCGACGGUUCAUUCAAAUUUCUGCCCUAUCAACUUUCGAUGGUAAGGUAUUGGCUUACCAUGGUUUCAACGGGUAACGGGGAAUUAGGGUUCGAUUCCGGAGAGGGAGCCUGAGAAACGGCUACCACAUCCAAGGAAGGCAGCAGGCGCGCAAAUUACCCAAUCCCGACACGGGGAGGUAGUGACAAUAAAUACUGAUACAGGGCUCUUUUGGGUCUUGUAAUCGGAAUGAGUACAAUUUAAACCCCUUAACGAGGAACAAUUGGAGGGCAAGUCUGGUGCCAGCAGCCGCGGUAAUUCCAGCUCCAAUAGCGUAUAUUAAAGUUGUUGCAGUUAAAAAGCUCGUAGUUGAACCUUGGGCCUGGCUGGCCGGUCCGCCUCACCGCGUGUACUGGUCCGGCCGGGCCUUUCCUUCUGGAGAGCCCCAUGCCCUUCACUGGGUGUGCGGGGGAACCAGGACUUUUACUUUGAAAAAAUUAG